rnacentral:rRNA from 1 species
UAAAAGAUCUAAGUUAAUUUGUUAGUUUUUGUUUCAAAAAAAUUUAAUAGUUUAAUUUAGGUGUAAAAUGUUAUCCGUUUUUAUUGAUAUCUAGUAACUUUGGAAAUAAAUUUAGUUUAGAAUAUAGAGGGUUACUUUAAUUUAAAGUAAGAUCUUAAAAUGUUUUUAUACUUUAGGGGAUGAGCUCUAAAGUAAAUUAUAAAAGAAUAAUUUUUUAAUUGAUUUUUUAGGCUUAGAAUUGGCCAUAAGAUAGUGUUAUAAGAUAAAAUUUUAAGUUUAAGAUUUAUUUUUCUUUUGUUUUUAGAAAGUUAAAGAUGAAAAUGAAAUUUGUUUUGAAAAUAUGAUAAUAUUAGUAGAUGAAAGAAUUAUAAAAUGAAAAGAAAAUGGAUUCUUCUUUAUUUUUUUUAUAAAAUAAUUAAGUUAAAAGAACUCGGCAAAAAAGAUUUCCGAAUGUUUAACAAAAACAUUUCCUCUUGAAAAAAGGAGGUAAGGCCUGCUCACUGAAUUUUUAAAGAGCCGCAGUAUUCUGACUGUGCUAAGGUAGCAUAAUCAUUAGUCUUUUAAUUGGAGACUGGUAUGAAUGGCUAAACGAGAAAUCGACUUUUUUUAUCUUAAAAAUUGAAUUUAAUUUUUUAGUGAAAAAGCUAAAAUUUUUCAGAAAGACGAGAAGACCCUAUAGAGUUUUAUAUUUUUAUAAACUUUUUCUUUUUGGAUUUUUUUGGAAUAAGUUUUUUUAAAGUAUUUUGUUGGGGCGACAUUAAGAUAAAAGAAACUCUUUAUUUUUUAAACUUUUAUAAAAGAAUUGUUUGAUCCUUUAAAAGAGAUCAAAAGAAAAAAUUACCUUAGGGAUAACAGCGUAAUCUUUUUUGAGAGUCCUAAUCGACAAAAAGGUUUGCGACCUCGAUGUUGGACUAAAAUUUAUACA